GGCUCUCAGGUCUCAGCCAUCAUCAACACUCAACGCCACAUCUCAGUCUCCCUCUCUGUCCAUCUCCUCUAACUUAAAAAGGUAAGAUUCCAGUAAUCUCAAAGCUAUAAGUUUCGUACAGAACUAUCAUUUGUUUUAUUAAUUACAAGUGUCUUCUCCUUUUCACGUAAAACUGAUGGCUUCCAUCACUUGUAGGGUUUCCAUAACAUAUUCGAAUUUACUGAAGCGUUAUUUCGUAAGAAAUACAGUUUAACUGUUAGUAUGUAACAUCUAAACUAUCUAUUAAUAAAAAUUUUCUUAUCAACCGAAAGAGUGAAAAUAUAAUUUGAUCUUGUAUCAUACUAUAAAAUCAAGGCUACUUAUAUAAUUUUGCACAAUUAAAUUUUUUAUUUAAACCUCACCCACAUCUCAUCAUAACAUCUCUAAUUUAAAAUUUUAAAAACUCAAAAAAUUUUCUCUGUUUCUUUCACAAUUUCUCUCUUUUCCAUAUAUAUAUUUUUAAAUUAUUUUAUUUUUGCACACAUAAUGUUUGAGCUUCAUCUAGUAUUUAAUUAAGCGGACAGACUCAAUUUGAAUACUUCCACAUGGCGGUUACACGUGACACGUACACUGUAUAGAGUGGAAAUCUAGCAACCAAACUUGAACAGUUCUCUCUUAAUUUGGAUGAAUGAGAAAUUCAUGCAUAUCAACAUUAAGAGUAAUUAGCUAAUUAUAAUAAAAACUAGCAUAUGGGCACACAUAAAGUAUGUGAGAAAUUUUUUUACUUUUGUUUUUGAAAUAGAAGGAGAGAGGAAGAGAGGGAUAGAGAAUGUGGAAGUGAGAAGUUUUUAUUUAUUUUAUUUAUUUAUUUUAAUUAGAGAUAUGUUAGGAUUAUAUGUAAAUGAGGUUUUGAAAAAACAAAAAUACAGUAAAAUUUGGUUGUGUGAAAUUACAUUUUUGCCUCAUAUUUCUUAAUCAUGUUCUCUUUUAAUCAGAAGGUUAAACUGGUAAUUUCAUAGAAUUUUGAUUGACAAUGAAUGUUUUAUUAAUUAGUAGAGAUAAUAUCCUACCACAAAAUGCAUGCAUGGUGAUAAUAUAUAUAUAUAUAUAUAUAUAUAUAUAUAUAUAUAUAUAUAAUAUUUUAUUUUAUUCGGUUUUGCCACAUCAUUGCUGUCUGGGGAAGUUGGGACUUGAACACAUGGAAAUGCAUGCAAGUCGUGGAAGCGUGAAGAUCGAGUUAGAGGUGUUGAUGAAUGCCGGGAAUGAAGGACACUUAGCUUUCAAGUUUUGCAUGGAUAUACUUGCAUUAAGUUGACAGGUUCAACUAAGACAGGUCAAAGCUGAGCAGAAGCUGACUGGGAAAUACUUUAACCACUACUUUGGAAUGGGAUAAUUUGACAACUGGAUUCGCAUGCAUGGAUCUCGUACUCUGAUGUGGAGGUAACACCAACGGAUCUACUUAUUUGGUGCUGAACUUAUCCACUUUGCUACACCAUUCUAUUUCUACUAGUAUGGAGUAAAUUAAAAUACGUUUUCAUAAUGUAACUUCAAAAAUAUGAUACUUAGCACUUAGCAGCAACUACGUACAUGCAUGCUUGGAAAUGUAACCGGCGUCUAAACACGUCAAGAACUUUACCCUGGCAAAAUUUGGC
rnacentral:lncRNA from 1 species